UCUCUUGUUCUGUACCGGCGCACCCAUUAGGCGAUCCCCAUGCACAGCUGCCUUGCGCGUGCAGGAGCCGAACAAGGAAGAAAGGGACAGCGAGGUGUCGAGGUGUGGGCCGGGGGAGGAGGCCGGCUGUAUGGACGAGAGGUCGGGGGUUGCAGUAUCACGUGUGCGCCUGCCGGAAUGAUCGUCCCCGUGCGCAAGUGCCUGCUGGAGGUCAUGCCCGACCGGGAAAGGGCUUGCCGCUGUGCAGUGAUUGCGCGAAAGGUCGACAGCGCAGCAGCACGCAAACCACCGGUCAUCGGCUUCUCCACCCCUUUGAGUGGUGUGUCGAUGCGCGCACUUCCUUCUAUACAGCGCCUUCUCUUCAUCUGUCCACGAGCAGCGGUAAAGCGAGCAACCGUGCAGAGAUGGUGGCAUCGUCUGUUUUGAUCCCUCUUUCAUCGGUAACGCCAGAGGAGCCGGCGCCAGCUGCAGGGAGAACGGACCCUGGCCAGAGCUCGCAGACGCGAGGCCGACAUCCCGCGAAACCGUGCGACACGCUGAGACGAGAGCUCCUUGGCGGCCGCCGUCCAGCACUGCGGAGGAACAGCGGCCUUGAGCGUGUGAGAUGAGCGGAGACCAUCCUCGCCCAGCUCGGCACGGGCGCCUGCGCGUACUUUGGCUUCGCGCAGCGGCGGGUGACUCGCAGCGGCAGCGUGGCGUGAAGACGGUGUGCUGCCUGUCACUGCGCUCGCGUUGUGGCGUGCCCCUCCCCCGCCCCCGCCUGUGCUUGCUGUGAGGGGGUCCGGCCUGGCGUUGUGCCCGGCAUGCGAGGCGAGGUUGGCGGAUGGGUCGAGGCUGAGAGCGCGCCUCGUCUCACUCGCGGCGCGUGCGCCUGCCCCGCCGAGUGUCCAGCGCUGCCUCCCUGUACGACCCCUCAGGGGAGGGCGUGCCAGGGGCUGUCUCUGCGCAGGCGCCGCCGACCACAGCUUGCAUGGUGCAUCGCAUCGAAGCACGGCAUGCAGAGGGGAGGGGCGCACGCGUGAUAGACGCAAGAGACGCGAGGGGGUGCAUAUGAACCAGCCCCCAAGAGUGCGUGCGUGCGACAUGCGCGGGAAGCCCGACGAGAGCGCCCCGAACUGCACCGUCGGGUCCUGCAGACUCCGACGUGGAGAGUCGCCGCAGGGUACUGUUUGUCUGCCGUGGCUGGAAGCCGCGGAGGGAGAAGCACGGCACACAGGCAGCGUGUGCAGGCCCUCAGAGGGCCGUGGCCUGCAGCUGACGAGCUUCCUUCUCGGGCCCGUCCGGCACGCGGCUAGACCACCGCCUGUUUGGCCACACGAUAUAGACGCCGCUGCUUCCGCCGCGGAGCAGGGGGCUGGACGCGGCUGGCUUGGAUCCAAGGCAUGCGCCCCCCCCCCUGAGGUCCGUGUGGCGCCGACCGCGCGGCAGGUAUGCAAGGAGGGGGCGAGGAGGGACGGGCAGAGUCUGUUAGACGCGUGACCCAGUUCGACGACAGGCCGGCUCGCCCUUGACGACCCGGAUGGGGCCGCGGUGCGACAGAGGUGUGGUGAGCUGUGGUUGUGCGCGCGUACGCUUGCGGACUUGUUGCUGCG
rnacentral:misc_RNA from 1 species